UGGGGAGCGCAGGGAACGCCGGGAGCCGAAGGUGCCGGUCCCGCGCGUGCGGAGGCUGCAGGCCGGUUGAGAAAUCCCCCUCCUCCAGGCCUGAAAGGUGGACUUUGGGAGUGGCUUCAGUUCUGAGUUAGUCCACUUUUCUCUUACUGCCUCAAAUAAGCGUGGAGCUGGAAUAGAGAAUAUCAGCCUGCAGUGAGAACCAGAUUCAGCUCUGGAGUUUGGUCAGAGACCUGGUGAGCAGUGUGAAGUUCAUCCACGAGGCCGAGGGCGCUCCUUUCCCAGGUGCAGGUCGUUGAGGAAGGAGUAGAAGACUGCCUGGCUAAAAAGACAUCAUCUGAUCCAGAUUCACCUCCACAGUUGAGAAGAAUGCCCUGGCAGGUAUGGCUGAGAAACAAGAUGGAAAGCAUCUGAAUGAUUGCAUGGUGCAGACAGGAACACAGGCACUAAUUAAGAAACGAAUUUCUGUCUUUGUUGAGCCAUUGCGUUUUGGGUCUCUUGUUACAGCAGUUAACGUUAUACUGAUAGGAUUAUAUAUUAAGAAACAGAGGAAGUAAGGUUAAAAUCAGGUAAUGGGUUUAAAGUGCUAGGAGGAGUAGUUGGGUCUUAGAAGCCUUGGAGAAGUAUUGCAGGUUCUUAAACCAGGGCACGCUGUGAUGGAGGUGGCGUGUCAGGAGGAUCAGACUGGUAGCAUAUAAAGCCUCCACCAAGGGGUUAAACAACCGUGAGCCUCAGACAGACCAGGGUAUCGCGUGUGGAAACAAAGUAAAAGAAAGAGGAAGGACAAUAACCAAGACAUAUUUCAAAGAGACGCCUCGGUGACCUGUUGGAUAUGGGGAAUGCUGGAUAACCAGGAGUCAGAAAAAAAAAGUCCCAGAUUUUUAAUCUGCGAAACUGAUGAUAUAGCAGGAAUGACUGUUGCGAAAAUGGAAAUAUAUAGAUUAAUUUCAAAAAUUCACGAAGAGUUUGGAGUGUGGCCGCAGGCCCAGAUCCUGUCAUCAAUUUUGCCUGGUAUCCUCCCUAUCCAGCAGGAGACCGUGUGCCACCAUUUCUAGAGCAAAUUAAAGGGGAAAAGGGACAGUUUCUAAAGUAAGAAUUACAACUCUGAGGAAACCUGCCCCACUCAGCUAUUUUCAUUUAAGGAACCGAAACAUAAGUUCAGCGAACACCCAGAGAAAUGAAAAUUUCAAAAAUCAGUCAUAAAACAUUCAUUUUUUAAAAAGUCUCUUUCUUUUAAUCUUAUGUGAAUAUCGUGUACCAAAAAACCAAAUCCAUUGCUGUCAAGUUGAUUCCGACUCACAGUGACCCUAUAGGACAGAAUAGAACUGCCCCAUAGGGCUUCCAAGGCUGUAAAUCUUUGUGGAAGCAGACUGCCAUGUCUUUCUCCUGAGGAGUGACUGGUGGAUUCAGACUGCCGACCUUUCAGUUCGCAGCUGAGUACUUUAACCUCUGUGCCACCUGGGCUUCUUUAUAUUGUGUGGGCCCUAUUAAAUAUGCUGUAGUUUUCCGUGUAUAGCACUGCUUGGAAGUUUGACACAGUAUACUGCCUUGGUUUCUGUAUCUUCAGUGAUGAUCUGAUUUUUCACAAACAUGAGAUCCAAUAAUGACUUUUUCAGAGGUAGAAUUUGCAUUUUUCAGAACUAGUGAUGAAGUCAUUGUCAUUGUCCCCUUAAAGCCACGCAAUGUCUCUAAUACAUCUCAACCCAGGAGAGUUAAAUUUUAAGGUCGGACAGAACCCUCUAGAUCUUUUAGUUUAGCUCCAUUUUAUACAUGAGGAAACUGAGACACAGAAAGUUCAAGUACUUGGCCCAAGUUCACACACCUAGUUAGCUGAUGACUUGAGACUGGAAGCCAGACCUCCAUACUCCUAGUCUGGGUCUUUUUUUUACUAUGCCACAUUGCCUUUCAGAAUAUAAUCUGUUUCACCAAGGAAUAUAUACAAAUGGCCAACAAGCACGUGAAAAGAUGCUCGACGUCAUUAGUCAUUAGGGAGAUGCAAAUCAAAACCACAGUGAGAUAUCACUUCACACCCACUAGGAUGGCUAUGAUUAAAAAAAUGGAAAACAACGGGUGUUGGUGAGGCCAUGGCGAAACUGGGCCCCUCAUCCAUUGCUAGUGUAAAAUGGUGCAGAACCGUGGCAGUUCCUCAGAAAGUUGAACAGUCACCAUAUGGUCCAGUAAUUAUCCCCCUUCUAGGUGUAGAUCAAAAAGAAUGAAAAGCAGGAGUGCAAACAGAUCCUUUUACACCGGUGUUAAUUGUAGCAUUACUCACAAUAGCCAAAAAGUGGAAACAGCCUGAAUGCCCAUCAACAGACGAAUGGAUAAACAGAAGGUGGUGUGCACCUGCAGUGGAGAUAAAGAGAAAUGAAGUCCCGAUCCGCGCUGCAACAUGGAUGAACCUUGAAGACAUUAUGCUGAGAGAAAUACAUCAGACACAGAAGAAAAAUAUUUCAUAUAAAUGAUCCCUAGAAUAGGCAGGUGUGUAGAGAUCAGAGUUGAUUAGUGGUUAUCAAGGGUGGGCAGGAGGGGGCAGAAAGGGGGACUCAGUGUCUAGAGGACACUGAGCUUCGUUAAGGGCGAUGGUAUAGUUUGGGAAUGGAUACGGGUGACGGCCGAUGAACGCGGUGAACAUAAUUGAUGCCACUGAACUGUACGUGUGAAGACUUACAAUGCAGAUGUUUUGUUACCUAUGUAUAUACCGCAAUUAAAAAAUACGGUCCAAGACAUAAACCAAUAUGAACAUAUUUCUUAGCUGACUAGUAGCCGUAGUCUUACGAAUAAAAAUGCUGAUGUGUGGAGUGCUUAGGCCUCCAGGCUCGCUGUCCUUUUUCAUGCCCUUUUUCCAAAAGUCCUCAGGCCAUUGUCUCUGUGGGAAAAAUGAGAAUCAUCCUUCUGUUUUUUCAUUGAAGGCAUCCACUGUAUCUUAUUAACUUUUAUUCUCCAUGGUGAUUAGUACACUGCCCUGAAUAUUGUAGAUGUGCAGUAAAUACCUAAUGAAGCAUAAAUGGGUAAACAUUGCAUCACCCUAGUAUUUAUAGGAGUGACAGUGUAUCAUCUCUAGGUAUUAGGUAUUAAAUGAUUGUGUACCUGUUACAUUCCGAGCACUGUGCUAGGCAGUAGAAACAUAAAGGACAAAUCAUGUUGUGUCCCAGCAUAAAGGACCUUAGAGUCCAGGGGGCACACAGACCUGCCAUUCCAGUACAAGGUGAUUCGUGCUGAAACGGGAGGGGGAGCAGGACGCAGUGGGGCAUUGGGUCUUCCCUCCUGCUUUGCUGAGCUCAGAAGAUUUCCUGUUCUGCCCAACACUGUCUCACCUUUUGUCACUUAGGCCCCAAAAAGGAUUGCUUGUGCCCAAAGUCUCACAGACUCUGUCAUGAGUACAGUUCCUUUAUCUUCUGGCCCUGACCCCUUCUCCACUGUCACUCCAGACCAUCAUCAGACUGGUGGUAGCAGCAGAUACCACCCCAUCUUCUCCACUGUCCUUACUUUCCCAUGUAUCUCUUGAGCAUCCUUGCACCAGACCUCUUCCAUACUUCUGCAGCUACAUUCACCAUGUAAGUUAACUCAUGUCAGUGAGGAGGUGGACAGUGGAAGUGGUGUUUAACUCAUUUAUCCCAGCAUGUGAGUCCCAGUGAGAACACCUGGGUGAUCCAUGAGAGAAAGCUCACCCUCUCAGCAGAGUGGAAGAUGGAGGGAAGGGGAGUGCAGGACCAGAGGCACACACUUAGUCUUAAUUCCAAGAUUAGAAGAAAAUGAUCAUAAUAAUGGAGGGUAGAGAAGAUGAGGGCUUGAAUUAAGGUAGCGGCUUUGGGAAAUAAAGGAGGAGCCUUGGUGGCGUAGUGGUUAAGCGCUUGGCUGCUAAUCAAAAGGUCGGCAGUUCGAACCCACCAGCCA